CGGAUUGUAGUCUGCAACCCGACUACAUGAAGCUGGAAUCGCUAGUAAUCGCGGAUCAGAAUGCCGCGGUGAAUACGUUCCCGGGUCUUGUACACACCGCCCGUCACACCAUGGGAGUCGGAAAUGCCCGAAGUCUGUGACCCAACCGCGAGGAGGGAGCAGCCGAAGGCAGGUCGGAUGACUGGGGUGAAGUCGUAACAAGGUAAC
rnacentral:rRNA from 1 species